UGAGCCGGCCAGGCGGCCGCGUUGCGGGAAACCGCACCGAGGAACGUCCGGGCUCCACAGGGCAGGGUGGUGGGUAACGCCCACCCGGGGUGACCCGCGGGACAGUGCCACAGAGAACAGACCGCCCGCGCGGCCUUCGGGUCGAGCGGGCAAGGGUGAAACGGUGGUGUAAGAGACCACCAGCGUGCCGGGUGACCGGUGCGGCUAGGUAAACCCCACCCGGAGCAAGGCCAGACAGGGAGCGGGCUGCCCGCCCAACGCUCCCGGGUAGGCCGCUGGAGGCGUGCGGUGACGCACGUCGUAGAUGGAUGGUCGCCACCCGGCGCCGGGCAACCGGCACCGGGGACAGAACCCGGCGUAUCGGCCGGCUCAUCCC
rnacentral:RNase_P_RNA from 2 species